CCUACGGGAGGCUGCAGUGGGGAAUAUUGGACAAUGGGGGGAACCCUGAGCCAGCCAUGCCGCGUGUGUGAAGAAGGCCCUCGGGUUGUAAAGCACUUUCAGUGAGGAAGAACGCCUGGUGGUUAAUACCCAUCAGGAAAGACAUCACUCACAGAAGAAGCACCGGCUAACUCCGUGCCAGCAGCCGCGGUAAUACGGAGGGUGCGAGCGUUAAUCGGAAUUACUGGGCGUAAAGCGCGCGUAGGUGGCUUGAUAAGCCGGUUGUGAAAGCCCCGGGCUCAACCUGGGAACGGCAUCCGGAACUGUCAAGCUAGAGUGCAGGAGAGGAAGGUAGAAUUCCCGGUGUAGCGGUGAAAUGCGUAGAGAUCGGGAGGAAUACCAGUGGCGAAGGCGGCCUUCUGGACUGACACUGACACUGAGGUGCGAAAGCGUGGGUAGCAAACAGGAUUAGAUACCCCGGUAGUC
rnacentral:rRNA from 1 species